rnacentral:rRNA from 1 species
GACGAACGCUGGCGGCGUGCCUAAUACAUGCAAGUAGAACGCUGAAGGAGGAGCUUGCUUCUCCGGAUGAGUUGCGAACGGGUGAGUAACGCGUAGGUAACCUGCCUGGUAGCGGGGGAUAACUAUUGGAAACGAUAGCCAAUACCGCAUAACAGUAGAUGUUGCAUGACAUUUGCUUAAAAGGUGCAAUUGCAUCACUACCAGAUGGACCUGCGUUGUAUUAGCUAGUUGGUGAGGUAACGGCUCACCAAGGCGUCGAUACAUAGCCGACCUGAGAGGGUGAUCGGCCACACUGGGACUGAGACACGGCCCAGACUCCUACGGGAGGCAGCAGUAGGGAAUCUUCGGCAAUGGACGGAAGUCUGACCGAGCAACGCCGCGUGAGUGAAGAAGGUUUUCGGAUCGUAAAGCUCUGUUGUAAGAGAAGAACGAGUGUGAGAGUGGAAAGUUCACACUGUGACGGUAUCUUACCAGAAAGGGACGGCUAACUACGUG